UCGCGGGAUCUUGGCAUUCGUCAAUGUCUGCAAGUAGAGGAAGAUACGACGGAGGACCGUGAUUAAUCGAAGAUGCUACACAACAAAUGACAAGCGGCACCAUCCAAGAGACGUGUUCUGGCUCUGGCUCUAGCUCUGGCUUUGACUGCCGGUCUCUCUACGCAUUUUGCCGCUUGAAUGCGCGCUCUGCUCGCAUUCACAGUCGCGGGGAAUCGGACAUGGAGUAGCAGCCAUGUGGCAAUGGAUGCCAUCGAGAUUUGCAUAUUACGCAUGACAUUUCAGUGUCAUUCGCGCGAGUGGAAGCCCCGACGACAAUGUCAGAGCACAGGAUGCACCAGUUGCAUACAUUUUCAUAGCAAUUGGAUACGAAUACGAAUAAGAGUAGAUAUGGGUGUGUGGCCAAUGUUAAUGGGACAACCAUAGAUCAUAGAAAUUAGAAAAUUCAGUAGAAGAAUAUUUAAAACCAUUGCAAUUCGAAUCUACAGAAACAGAGAGAAAUUUGGAUACCUCCAAGAGAAUAGUAAUCCAUCUUCUCAAGAAGAAUCAGUCUUAGUGCAUCCCAAAGAUUCAUUCAGAAUUUUCAUAGAAAUUGAGACUUUAGAACGCUUCAGAGACAGAGACAAAUCUCAUGAUUACAAUCUUAAUCAACGACAUUUCUUAGUGAGAAUCGAUUUCUACAUUCACCAGAACUCUCAAAUUGCAUAAGCCUGAAUCCAACCUAACCUUUCAUGUCCGCUGUCUGAUUCUCUGGCGGAAGGAGGAGGAUGCGGAGAAUGAGCUGUGGCUCAGAGCUUUCUGCUCCAAUAGCGCGCAGCGCAGCGCAUCGCAUCGUAUCGCAUCGAAUCGUAUCGAGAAUUGACUAUUGCCAGAGAGAAAGACACGGAGCCAAUGAAGCGGCACUACAGCUGGAUUGAAACAGACCGACUACGAGCCGGCAGCCGUUCUCCGGGACCGCAAUCUGGGCCCAUUAAUCAUCCGAGGGCCUGCGACUAAGCAAAAGUUGUACAUUUAUAGCUAAUAUGACAUAAAUACAAAAGUUGGCAAAAGGCAAAGACAA